CUGGGUGUAGCUCAGCUGGAUUAGAGUGCUCCGCCUGGACCGGAGAAGGCGCAGGUUUGAGCCCUGCCACCCAGACCA
rnacentral:tRNA from 1 species